rnacentral:rRNA from 1 species
AGUGAACGCUGGCGGUAGGCCUAACACAUGCAAGUCGAACGGCAGCACAGUAAGAGCUUGCUCUUACGGGUGGCGAGUGGCGGACGGGUGAGGAAUACAUCGGAAUCUACUUUUUCGUGGGGGAUAACGUAGGGAAACUUACGCUAAUACCGCAUACGACUUACGGGUGAAAGCGGGGGAUCUUCGGACCUUGCGCGAUUGAAUGAGCCGAUGUCGGAUUAGCUAGUUGGCGGGGUAAAGGCCCACCAAGGCGACGAUCCGUAGCUGGUCUGAGAGGAUGAUCAGCCACACUGGAACUGAGACACGGUCCAGACUCCUACGGGAGGCAGCAGUGGGGAAUAUUGGACAAUGGGCGCAAGCCUGAUCCAGCCAUACCGCGUGGGUGAAGAAGGCCUUCGGGUUGUAAAGCCCUUUUGUUGGGAAAGAAAAGCAGCAGGUUAAUACCCCGCUGUUCUGACGGUACCCAAAGAAUAAGCACCGGCUAACUUCGUG